rnacentral:lncRNA from 1 species
CUACUAGUGUCUGCCUGUAUGGUUCUGCAAGUAGAAUAUAAUAAGCCAUUUUUAAUUACAAAAUAACAAUAUGUACACAUACUGGUGUGUAUGUGUUACAUAGGGUAAUGAACCCCAGAAGAUAUUUGAAGACAUGCACAAAAUGCUUAUACUAGUAUCUGUGAAACUGGAAUUAGAGGUUUCUUUGUUUUGGCCCAUUUUCUUCAUUGAACAUUAUUACUUUU